AUCGCUUCUUGGCCUUUUGGCUAAGAUCAAGUGUAGUAUCUGUUGUUAUAAGUUUAAUAUCUGAUACGUCCUCUAUCUGAGGGCAUUAUAUUAAAAGGAUUUUUGGAGCUGGGAUAUGGAACAGGAGCUUGCUCCAUCCACUCUGUGCAUCAAUCUAGUAUUGCAGUACUGCUGGGAAUGGGGCACAAAAA